AGCAAGAGCUUGCAGCCACCCAAGCAAACUCCAACGCAGAGAAACCAUUGCCUGAGCAAGAGCUUGCAGCUACCCAAUCAAACUCCAAUGGAGAUAAACCUGUGCCUAAGCAAGAGCUUGCAGCUACCCAAGCAAACUUCAAUGGAGAUAAACCUGUGCCUGAGCAAGAGUUUGCAGCUACCCAAGCAAACUCCAAUGGAGAUAAACCCGUGUCUGAGCAAGAGCUUGCAGCUACCCAAGCAAACUCCAAUGGAGAUAAACCUGCGUCUGAGCAAGAGCUUGCAGCUACUGAAGCAAACUCCAAUGGAGAUAAACCAGUGCCUGAGCAAGAGCUUGCAGCUACCGAAGCAAACUCCACUGGAGAUAAAC
rnacentral:lncRNA from 1 species